GGUAGCCUAGUGGUUAGAGUGGAGAGGUGGCAGGGUAGCCUAGUGGUUAGAGUGUAGAGGUGGCAGGGUAGCCUAGUGGUUAGAGUGGAGAGGUGGCAGGGUAGCCUAGUGGUUAGAGUGUAGAGGUGGCAGGGUAGCCUAGUGGUUAGAGUGGAGUGGUGGCAGGGUGGCCUAGUGGUUAGAGUGGAGUGGUGGCAGGGUAGCCUAGUGGUUAGAGUGGAGUGGUGGCAGGGUAGCCUAGUGGUUAGAGUGGAGUGGUGGCAGGGUGGCCUAGUGGUUAGAGUGGAG